AUUGAACGCUGGCGGCAUGCCUUACACAUGCAAGUCGAACGGUAACGCGGGGGCAACCCUGGCGACGAGUGGCGAACGGGUGAGUAAUACAUCGGAACAUAUCCAGUAGCGGGGGAUAACCUAUCGAAAGAUUGGCUAAUACCGCAUACGAUCUACGGAUGAAAGCGGGGGACCGCAAGGCCUCGCACUAUUGGAGUGGCCGAUGUCAGAUUAGCUAGUUGGUGGGGUAAAAGCCUACCAAGGCGACGAUCUGUAGCUGGUCUGAGAGGACGAUCAGCCACACUGGAACUGAGACACGGUCCAGACUCCUACGGGAGGCAGCAGUGGGGAAUUUUGGACAAUGGGCGCAAGCCUGAUCCAGCCAUGCCGCGUGAGUGAAGAAGGCCU
rnacentral:rRNA from 1 species